rnacentral:rRNA from 1 species
GAUCAUGGCUCAGGAUAAACGCUGGCGGCGCACAUAAGACAUGCAAGUCGAACGGAAGUCGUUGUAAUGAUAUAGACAUGGACGGAGAACUUGUUCAAAAGGGAAGUGAAAGUUGACUUACAACAAUGGCUUUAGUGGCGGACUGGUGAGUAACACGUAAGCAACCUGCCUAUCAGAGGGGAACAACAGUUAGAAAUGACUGCUAAUACCGCAUAUGCCUAAGUAUCAC